rnacentral:tRNA from 1 species
GCGGGAUUGGUGUAGAGGUAGCACGGAGGCCUUCCAAGCCUGCGGCAGCGGUUCGAUCCCGCUAUCCCGCC